rnacentral:rRNA from 1 species
AUACGUAGGGGGCGAGCGUUGUCCGGAAUUACUGGGCGUAAAGGGCGCGCAGGCGGAUAUUUAAGUCAGCUGUAAAAGGCAUGAGCUCAACUCAUGUAUGCGGUUGAAACUGGGUAUCUAGAGUGCUGGAGAGGUAGGCGGAAUUUCCGGUGGAGCGGUUAAAUGCGUAGUUAUCGGGAAGAACACCAGUGGCGAAGGCUGCUUACUGGGCAGCAACUGACGCUGAGGCGCGAAAGCCAGGGGAGCGAACGGGAUUAGAUCCCCCGGUAGUCCUGGCCGUAAACGAUGAAUGCUAGGUGUGGGUGUCGAGAGGCAUCCGUGCCGGAGUUAACGCGAUAAGCAUUCCGCCUGGGGAGUACGAUCGCAAGAUUGAAACUCAAAUGAAUUGGCGGGG